GACGAACGCUGGCGGCGUGCUUAACACAUGCAAGUCGAACGGAAAGGCCCUGCUUCUGUGGGGUGCUCGAGUGGCGAACGGGUGAGUAACACGUGAGUAACCUGCCCUUGACUUUGGGAUAACUUCAGGAAACUGGGGCUAAUACCGGAUAGGAGCUCCUGCUGCAUGGUGGGGGUUGGAAAGUUUCGGCGGUUGGGGAUGGACUCGCGGCUUAUCAGCUUGUUGGUGGGGUAGUGGCUUACCAAGGCUUUGACGGGUAGCCGGCCUGAGAGGGUGACCGGCCACAUUGGGGCUGAGAUACGGCCCAGACUCCUACGGGAGGCAGCAGUGGGGAAUAUUGCACAAUGGGCGGAAGCCUGAUGCAGCAACGCCGCGUGCGGGAUGACGGCCUUCGGGUUGUAAACCGCUUUCGCCUGUGACGAAGCGUGAGUGACGGUAAUGGGUAAAGAAGCACCGGCUAACUACGUG
rnacentral:rRNA from 1 species